GUUACCCUUUUCAAUUUAUCCUCUCCGUAUCCCUCCCUCUCUCUCCCUUUUAUCCUAUCAGUUCUAUGUUCAUAUUGCUAUAUUGCUCUUUGCAGCUUCGUCUCUUCACUGACUCUCCCUAUCAAAGUAGUUUUUUGAGACAAGCGUCCAAGACGAUUUCAGGCAUCUUGGUUCAAAAUGUUCCCUUCAUGGCUAGAGUACUCUCCGACUAAUUGUCAAUGCCGGAAAGAGUUGUCCUAUUCUUAAACAAAUUGGAGAAAGUCAUUGUUUGUUUCACAAUAAUGCAAUGAAAGCAUGUCAAGACUUGUGCAAUCAAUCUAUGUACACCAUAAACGGCUUUAAUGUGCAGAGUGUCGAUCUCAUCAGCAAAAAUAGACUUAGCCUCAAAAGCUCUAUUGAUUCAAUUCGUUGACUCACAUUUCAAGCUUGUGCUUUUCGUGGCCACGACGAAUCACUAGGAUCAAAAAAUAGAGUAAACGACAUGAUGAAUUGCAAAGUGUCAUAUUAUAGGAGAUUUCAACUUUGUUAGAGAUUGGUGAACUUGAAAGUGGUAGUGGACAAAAUCAGAUUUGCAAUUUGAAACGAGUCGGCGAUACUCAUUGGAGCUAACAUUUUUCUUCUGUUUGUAGUAUGAUAAAUUUGUAUAAUCCAACUUGUGCAGUUCUUCAAGAUAUUAGAAGAAAUCGAACAAAUUAUUCUACAUGUAGUAAUGCUAAUGCUGUUCAUAAGCUUAUGAAAUCAUUUGAGUUUAUAUUGAUUUUGCACACGAUGAAAGAGAUUAUAGGAAUUACAUAUCAUCUUUGUCAAGCUUUACAACAUAAAUCUCAAGAUAUACUUAAUGCAAUGUAAUUAGUCAACAAUACAAAAAUAUUAAUUCAAAAGUUGAGAGAUGGUGAUUGGGAUGAUUUAUUGAAAAAUGUGAUAUUAUUUUGUGAGCAGCAUGAUAUUGAUUCCCCCGAUUGUAAUGCUAUUUAUAUAGUGGGUCAACAAUAUAGAGUGAA